rnacentral:rRNA from 1 species
GAUGAACGCUGGCGGCGUGCCUAAUACAUGCAAGUCGAGCGAACAGACGAGGAGCUUGCUCCUCUGACGUUAGCGGCGGACGGGUGAGUAACACGUGGAUAACCUACCUAUAAGACUGGGAUAACUUCGGGAAACCGGAGCUAAUACCGGAUAAUAUAUUGAACCGCAUGGUUCAAUAGUUAAAGACGGUUUUGCUGUCACUUAUAGAUGGAUCCGCGCCGCAUUAGCUAGUUGGUAAGGUAACGGCUUACCAAGGCAACGAUGCGUAGCCGACCUGAGAGGAUGAUCGGCCACACUGGAACUGAGACACGGUCCAGACUCCUACGGGAGGCAGCAGUAGGGAAUCUUCCGCAAUGGGCGAAAGCCUGACGGAGCAACGCCGCGUGAAUGAUGAAGGUCUUCGGAUCGUAAAACUCUGUUAGUAGGGAAGAACAAAUGUGUAAGUAACUAUGCACGUCUUGACGGUACCUAAUCAGAAAGCCACGGCUAACUACGUG